UGGGGAAUAUUGCACAAUGGGCGGAAGCCUGAUGCAGCGACGCCGCGUGGGGGAUGAAGGCCUUCGGGUUGUAAACUCCUUUCGACAGGGACGAAGCUUUUGUGACGGUACCUGUAUAAGAAGCACCGGCUAACUACGUGCCAGCAGCCGCGGUAAUACGUAGGGUGCGAGCGUUGUCCGGAAUUACUGGGCGUAAAGAGCUCGUAGGUGGUUUGUCGCGUCGUCUGUGAAAUUCCGGGGCUUAACUCCGGGCGUGCAGGCGAUACGGGCUGACUUGAGUGCUGUAGGGGAGACUGGAAUUCCUGGUGUGGCGGGGAAAUGCGCAGAUAUCAGGAGGAACACCGAUGGCGAGGGCAGGUCUCUGAGCAGUAACUGACGCUGAGGAGCGAAAGCAUGGGUAGCGAACAGG
rnacentral:rRNA from 1 species